rnacentral:rRNA from 2 species
UCACUGGUGUUCGGGUUGUCAUGCCAAUGGCACUGCCCGGUAGCUAAAUGCGGAAGAGAUAAGUGCUGAAAGCAUCUAAGCACGAAACUUGCCCCGAGAUGAGUUCUCCCUGAGACUUUAGGUCUCCUGAAGGAACGUUGAAGACGACGACGUUGAUAGGCCGGGUGUGUAAGCGCAGCGAUGCGUUGAGCUAACCGGUACUAAUGAACCGUGAGGCUUAACCUU